GAUGAACGCUAGCGGCAGGCUUAAUACAUGCAAGUCGAGGGGCAGCACAGGUAGCAAUACUGGGUGGCGACCGGCAAACGGGUGCGGAACACGUACACAACUUACCUUCUGGUGGGGGAUAGCCUUUGGAAACGGAGAUUAAUACCCCAUAUUAUAUAUGAGCUGCAUGGUUUGUAUAUUAAAGAUUUAUUGCCGGAAGAUGGGUGUGCGUAUGAUGAGGUAGUUGGCGGGGUAACGGCCCACCAAGCCGGCGAUCAUUAACUGGUGUGAGAGCACGACCAGUCACACGGGAACUGAGACACGGGCCCGACUCCUACGGGAGGCAGCAGUAAGGAAUAUUGGUCAAUGGACGGAAGUCUGACCCAGCCAUGCCGCGUGGAGGAUGAAGGUCCUCUGGAUUGUAAACUUCUUUUAUAGGGGGCGAAAAAAGGGAAUUCUUUCUCGUCUGACGGUACCCUAUGAAUAAGCACCGGCUAACUCCGUGCCAGCAGCCGCCGUAAAAC
rnacentral:rRNA from 1 species